rnacentral:rRNA from 1 species
CCCUUAGAUGUUCUGGGCCGCACGCGCGCUACACUGACGAAGUCAGCGAGCAUGUCCUACGCCGACAGGUGCGGGGAAUCUUGUCAAACUUCGUCGUGAUGGGGAUUGAUUAUUGAAAUUCUUGAUCAUCAACGAGGAAUUCCUAGUAAGCGCAAGUCAGCAGCUUGCGUUGAUUACGUCCCUGCCCUAUGUACACACCGCCCGUCGCUACUACCGAUUGAAUGGUUUAGUGAGAUCUUCGGAUUGGCGCCACUGCGGCUCAGCAAUGGGCUCGGUGGAUGCCGAAAAGUUGAUCAAACUUGAUCAUUUAGAGGAAGUAAAAGUCGUAACA